rnacentral:misc_RNA from 1 species
GCAUCUACCGAUUGAAUGGAGAGGUAAAAUCUCCGGACUAUGGCGCGUUGGGGUCAAACCUAAUGCAGUCGUGGGAAGUGGAUUAAACCUUUCCAUUUAGAGGAAGAUGAAGUCGUAACAAGGUUUCCGUAGGUGAACCUGCAGAAGGAUCAUGUUCGUUAUAUCGUCGUUUCGUUCAAUAUUUUUUAUCUCUGUUUUCUCCGUUUCUUUCACAUACCUUUUUUUUUCUUUCUCUUUUUUCCUCUCUUUUUUUUUUUUUUUUUUUUUCUUUUUCUUU